GCGGAGCUGAGGUUUCCCUGACUGUGUGUUCCAUGAGAGGAGCAGACUCAAGCUCCUGUCUCUGGGACUUCGCCAACUUCGUGGAGUAUGUCCUGGGACCGAAAGCCAAGGUGAUCUCUCCAGGUACCAAGUGACCCGAUGAGGGGGGCUGGCAUGUCCUGGAGCUCCACAGCGAGCAACCGUACCAUCAUGGAGUCCUCAGAGGUCAGCUGGACCCGACUGUAGCCCCCGAUCACAGAUUAAUACGGGGUAGCUCCCCCACCGCUUUCAACAUAGCUUCUGAAGACGCCUGUUUCUGAGAAAAAAGCUUCAUGGAGCCCUUUUGAGGAGAGUCCUCGCUCGCACUUGCUCUACGGCUGAAGAGAAUACUGCGACCACGCCAGAUUCUGCAGGGAGGUCCUGUCGUUUGAGCUAUUGGAACGUUAUUUUGCAAAGAGACAGAAGUUAGUAAGAAAAUGGGAGUUAUGUGAAUUAAGUGAGAGAGAGAGAACACCAGUAAAGGAAGGUUCUUAAGG